CCUACGGGGGGCUGCAGUGGGGAAUAUUGGACAAUGGGGGGAACCCUGAUCCAGCCAUGCCGCGUGUGUGAAGAAGGCCCUCGGGUUGUAAAGCACUUUCAGUGAGGAAGAACGCCUGGUGGUGAAUACCCAUCAGGAAAGACAUCACUCACAGAAGAAGCACCAGCUAACUCCGUGCCAGCAGCCGCGGUAAUACGGAGGGUGCGAGCGUUAAUCGGAAUUACUGGGCGUAAAGCGCGCGUAGGUGGCUUGAUAAGCCGGUUGUGAAAGCCCCGGGCUCAACCUGGGAACGGCAUCCGGAACUGUCAAGCUAGAGUGCAGGAGAGGAAGGUAGAAUUCCCGGUGUAGCGGUGAAAUGCGUAGAGAUCGGGAGGAAUACCAGUGGCGAAGGCGGCCUUCUGGACUGUCACUGACACUGAGGUGCGAAAGCGUGGGUAGCAAACAGGAUUAGAUACCCUUGUAGUC
rnacentral:rRNA from 1 species